rnacentral:rRNA from 1 species
GAUGAACGCUGGCGGCGUGCCUAAUACAUGCAAGUCGAGCGAACAGACGAGGAGCUUGCUCCUCUGACGUUAGCGGCGGACGGGUGAGUAACACGUGGAUAACCUACCUAUAAGACUGGGAUAACUUCGGGAAACCGGAGCUAAUACCGGAUAAUAUAUUGAACCGCAUGGUUCAAUAGUGAAAGACGGUUUUGCUGUCACUUAUAGAUGGAUCCGCGCCGCAUUAGCUAGUUGGUAAGGUAACGGCUUACCAAGGCAACGAUGCGUAGCCGACCUGAGAGGGUGAUCGGCCACACUGGCACUGAGACACGGUCCAGACUCCUACGGGAGGCAGCAGUAGGGAAUCUUCCGCGAUGGGCGAAAGCUUGACGGAGCAACGCCGCGUGAGUGAUGAAGGUCUUCGGAUCGUAAAACUCUGUUAUUAGGGAAGAACAAAUGUGUAAGUAACUAUGCACGUCUUGACGGUACCUAAUCAGAAAGCCACGGCUAACUACGUG